CUCCCUGUGGCUCAAUUGGUAGAGCAUGGUGUUUGCAACGCCAGGGUUGUGGGUUCGAGUCCCACAGGGGGC
rnacentral:tRNA from 1 species